rnacentral:lncRNA from 1 species
CACCAUGCACUCUUGAUGUUGAAUACCAUUAUCCCUGGGAUUUUGUUCAGCAGGUGCAUUAUCCACAUCAUUUACAACAAGUUGGACCAAUUUAUUUCCGUACCCUAAGGAAGUGCCAUGUGUUUGGUGUAUGUGCAGAAGGAUCAGGCAAACAGACUUUUAUUUUAUUGAUGAAAGUCAGUGCACUGGGAAAAGAGUGGAAGGUGUGGUGUCUAGGGCUCAUCAUUAUUUGCAGUUCUAUAGCAUAGGAGAAAAACAUGCACAGAUACAUUUCCAUAAUGCAGCUGGGCAGAACAAAAACAACUUUGUCAUUUGGUAUGCAGUUAUGGAGCACUUUAAUAGG